GCCAGUGUGGCAUAGUGGUUUAUGCAUUGAACUAUGACUCUGAUGGGUAGGGUUCAAAUCUCCACUUAGUCA